rnacentral:misc_RNA from 1 species
UACGGAGGGUGCAAGCAUUGAUCGGAAUUACUGGGCGUAAAGGGCGCGUAGGCGGCAAUGAAAGUCAGAUGUGAAAUUCCAGGGCUCAACCCUGGAGCUGCAUUUGAAACUUCAUAGCUAGAGUUCAGUUAGGGUAAACGGAAUUCCACGUGUAGCGGUGAAAUGCGUAGAUAUGUGGAAGAACACCGGUGGUGAAAACGGUUUACUGGGCUGAAACUGACGCUGAGGCGCGAAAGCAUGGGGAGCAAACAGG